rnacentral:rRNA from 1 species
GACGGACGCUGGCGGCGUGCUUAACACAUGCAAGUCGAACGGAAAGGCCCCAGCUUGCUGGGGUACUCGAGUGGCGAACGGGUGAGUAACACGUGGGUGAUCUGCCCUGCACUCUGGGAUAAGCCUGGGAAACUGGGUCUAAUACCGGAUAGGACCGUGCUUUAGUGUGUGCGGUGGAAAGUUUUUCGGUGCAGGAUGAGCCCGCGGCCUAUCAGCUUGUUGGUGGGGUAAUGGCCUACCAAGGCGGCGACGGGUAGCCGGCCUGAGAGGGUGCACGGCCACAUUGGGACUGAGACACGGCCCAGACUCCUACGGGAGGCAGCAGUGGGGAAUAUUGCACAAUGGGCGCAAGCCUGAUGCAGCGACGCCGCGUGGGGGAUGACGGCCUUCGGGUUGUAAACCCCUUUCGGCAGGGACGAAGCUUUUGUGACGGUACCUGCAUAAGAAGCACCGGCUAACUACGUG